GGCUCAUUAAAUCAGUUGUGGUUCCUUAGAUCGUACCAAAUCUUACUUGGAUAACUGUGGUAAUUCUAGAGCUAAUACAUGCCGAUAGUGCCUCGAGCCCGUGAGGGUGAGGGGAGCAUUUAUUAGACCAAAACCAAUGGGUAUUUCCCCUUUUACUUGGUGACUCUGAAUAACUUCUUGCUGAUCGCACAGCCGUGAGCUGGCGACGUAUCUUUCAAGUGUCUGCCUUAUCAACUUUCGACGGUACGUUAAACGCCUACCGUGGUUAUAACAGGUGACGGGGAAUCAGGGUUCGAUUCCGGAGAGGGAGCCUGAGAAACGGCUGCCACAUCUAAGGAAGGCAGCAGGCGCGCAAAUUACCCACUCCCGGCACGGGGAGGUAGUGACGAAAAAUAACAAUACGGGACUCGUCCGAGGCCUCGUAAUUGGAAUGAGUACAAUCUAAAUCCCUUAACAAGGAUCCAUUGGAGGGCAAGUCUGGUGCCAGCAGCCGCGGUAAUUCCAGCUCCAAUAGCGUAUAUUAAAGUUGUUGCGGUUAAAAAGCUCGUAGUUGAAUCUCAGUUCUGGACCAGCACGGGUCCGCCACACACACUGGUGGACUGCUGACUGGCCCGGGUCAAAAUCGCCCGGCUUCUCCCAUGGUGCUCUUUACCGAGUGCCAUGGGUGGCCGACACGUUUACUUUGAGAAAACCAGAGUGUUUAAAGCAGGCGCAAGACGCCAGAAUGACUGUGCAUGGAAUAAUGGAAGAGGAUCUCGUUUCUGUCUUUGUUGGUUCUUCGGAAGACGAGAUAAUGAUUAAUAGGAACAGACGGGGGCAUUCGUAUUGCGACGUUAGAGGUGAAAUUCUUGGAUCGUCGCACGACGAACUACUGCGAAAGCAUUUGCCAAGAAUGUUUUCGUUAAUCAAGAACGAAAGUUAGAGGUUCGAAGGCGAUCAGAUACCGCCCUAGUUCUAACCAUAAACGAUGCCGACUGGCGAUCCGCCCUAGUUACUCGCACGACUGGGCGGGCAGCCUCCGGGAAACCAAAGUCUUUGGGUUCCGGGGGAAGUAUGGUUGCAAAGCUGAAACUUAAAGGAAUUGACGGAA
rnacentral:rRNA from 1 species